rnacentral:rRNA from 1 species
GGAGAACGGGUUAAUAAUCCCGUGCCAGUCAAUUGGAGCGGAGGAGUGACGGAGAAGGAUAGUCCAGCCAGCGAAUGGAAGAGCUGGUGAAAGCCUGUAGGUGGUAGUUGCAGGAAGAAAACGCAAUUACAACGCCGAGAGGGGGGCGAGGAGAUACGCAAGUAUGUCUGAGUGGAUAAUUCCAGGCUUCCAGGAAAAGCUUCGAACCGCAUUGAGAAUUGGCUGACCGUACCGUAAACCGACUCAGGUAGGUGGGGAGAAUAUCCCAAGGCGCUUGAGAGAACUCUGGUCAAGGAACUAGGCAAAUUUGCACCGUAACUUCGGGAGAAGGUGCGCCUCGGAGUGUGUAGGGAUACACUCUCGAAGCAUUCUGGGGUCGCAGAGAAAUGGCGGUAGCGACUGUUUACUAAAACACAGGACUCUGCAAAGUCGCAAGACGACGUAUAGGGUCUGACGCCUGCCCGGUGCUGGAGUUAAAGGGAGCUGUCAGGGCAACCGAAGCAGUGAACUGAAGCCCCAGUAAA